GUAAAGUCACGUUUAAGUGCUUCACGGAUGUCGCUCUCGGUAGAUACUCCAUCCAAGUCAAGGAUCUCGAUCGUUGUUUUUGGUGUUUGCGUCUUGUUGG